rnacentral:pre_miRNA from 1 species
UGUGUACUCCCUCUGUUCCAUAAUUCUUGUCUCAAAUUUGCCCAAAAAUGGAUGUAUUAUUCCUAAAAUGCAUCUAGAUACAUGAAAUAUUUCGUCAAGAAUUAUGGAACGGAGGGAAUAGUAU